rnacentral:rRNA from 1 species
AUGCGCGCCGUGCGAUGGGCGCAACCUGCCGGCGGCGGAGGAGGAACGACAGGGCGGCAGGGCCGCCGUGAUCCACCUCCAAGGCGGCGAGGCGGCGGCGGCGAGGGGGUUCUCGAGGGCCGCGAGGUCCAUGGGGUCCGUGCCGAGCCCCGGCGCCGGGCACUAGCCAAGUUAGCCAUGGUUCUUCCACCCCGGAGUCCGGCGAUGGAGAAGCUCCCAUUUUGCGGCGGGGAAUGGGACCCUGCGCCGCGUUUUUGUCCGUUCCUCGACUUGAUGAGCUUCUCGCUUUCAUAUGCGGCGUACGAAAAUGAUGGGGACGGUUUGUCAUUGUGUAUCUGA